AUUUUUUUUUAGUCAUUAAAGAUUCAUCAGCUUCCAGAGAAACUGUUAAUGAAAGUAUUCUCUUACAUAAAACACCAAGAUUACGGAAAACUAGCAAGAGUCUGCAAAAAAUGGCGAAUGAUUGUUUACAGCACACAGUUAUGGAAAAAUGUAUCCCUACGGCCAGAAUACGGUGGCCUCCAUGUGAACAACAUCGAAAUUUUGAUGCAGUUGAUUGGCAUUAGAUUUGGAAACACUAUGCAAACAAUUGAACUCCCGAGUGAACUUAUUACUGCUCCAGUACUACACGAGCUUUCGAACAAGUGUCCGAUUUUAAAAAACAUGACACUUGAUUUUUCAAAUGCUAUGCAACUACAUGAUUUCAAUGAUUUGAAUUCGUUUCCUUGCAAUUUGAGAACCAUGUGUAUUUGUCUAUCUGAAGUGAUAUUCUUAGAAGGUUUUAUGAGAAGAAUAUACAGCUGUCUAUCUUCUCUAGAGGUGUUGCAUCUUAUAGGUAAUUAUUUUUACACUUUCAUAUCAAAUUAUAAUGUUAAAGUUGUUAGUAACCAUAGAAACCAGUGGUAACAUUCUUGCCUAACCUUCACUAUCUUAUUGUUUUUCACUUAAAGAUAAUCAAUAAAAAGACCAUCAUUGGCUAAUUUUCUCUCAAUUAGGCUUCUAACUGCAGUAAGUGCACCCUGGCUUGAGAAAUUGAAAGUGAAUUUGUUGAAAGCUUUGUAACGAUAUUAUGCAAUAAAUUUUUACACAAACCGUCAAUAAUUAAACCUGCAGCUUCCUUUUCAUAGGAUAUUGGAGUCGAUAAAAAGUUUUAGCAUGUUUAUAUUUGAACAUUUGAAGCAUGGUAAACUAAACUUUGAUACAUUAAACUUUGAUAAUGAUGCUAUUAAAAUAAUCCUGUCAAUAUAUAACUUGACUGGAAAAUUAAAUUUAGUAUUACUAUUUUUGUUCUAACGAUUCUUUACAAAUUAAUUAAUAUAAAACAGAAUUUUAUCGCUGAUAUAUAAACUGAACAUAACAAGAUUAAUUUUUUAUAUUCUUUUAUAUUGAUUUGAAUGUCACAGCUUCUCAAGGGAUAAGCUUAAAAGGGAAAAAAAUAUUGAAAUAAUAAAUACAAAGUAAUGUGUGGUAUACAAUCAAUGAUCAGCAACAAAACAAUACAAAACAAUAACUAGAGGGAAAAACAAAGUCUACGACAAUACACAGUAUCAACUUUAUAUGUCAUACUCAUACUACACUCUAUACAAAUUACGAAAAAGAUUAAAGGAGAUUAUUAAAAAUCUGCCAGAAACAUCUAAUUCCUAAAUGACAAAAAAAUAACCAUAUUGUGAAGGCAAUAAAUGAUUCGGUUUGUGACUUUGAAAUGCAAAACUUGAGGUGGUCAAACAAAAAGUUUACUUAAAUUCUGCGCAAGAACUACCAUGUCUUCAUUUUAGUGUACCAUACCAUUUGAUAUUACUAAAAUCUUCCCUGUAAAAAGGUUCAAAUCUAUUUUUAUUUUGAUAGACAUCUUCAUAUUUUAAAUGUUUUCACAUUUCAAAGGUGAGUUUUUUUGUAUCUUAUGUAGCUCUUAUAAAUCUAUAAGAAUAAAUUUUAAAUGAUAUUGAUGUUCUUAAUUGAAUAUUGUAGGCACUUUCGAAAUGUCAACUGAGGCUGAGGAGGACAUCUAUGAAGUUGUUAAUAUUGGGAAGAUUAAAUCACACACACCAAAUUUAAAAGUUGUGAAUUUAUAUGGUAUUUCAUUUAUUGAUGACUCUCACAUUGAAUUACUGACUUCCAACUGUAUCCAUCUAGAAACAUUGGCCUUGAACUUCUGUCUGAGGGUCAAAGGUGCUUCAUUCAAAACACUUCUCCAAAGAUGUAAAAAGCUGAAAUCUCUGCUGCUGCAACACACAGGUAGGUUUAUAUUGCACUUUGUUAGUUAGUGAAUUCAUACCAAUGUUAUAGACUAUAUAUAAUAUACAGAUAAGAACUUUGGUUUUCCAAUUUCAAUGGUUUUACACUAGUCAUUUUUGGGACCCUUUAUAGCUUGCUGUUCGGUGUGAGCCGAGGCUCAUUGUUGAAGGCCGUUCUUUGACCUAUAAUGGUUUACUUUUCCAAAUUGUGACUUGGAAAGAGAGUUGUCUCAUUGGUACUAAUACCACAUCUUCUUAUACAGAUCUAUAAACUUAAAGGUGACAAUUAAGCUGACAAAAUAAGCUAGGUGAUUUCAAGAAGCAAUAAAAAAUUGAAUUUAACACAAUGACCAAAAGAAAAAAGUAUAGAUAAGAAAACUAUGGAGACAAAAAUUACCCAACUAAGCAGCAGAGGUCUAUAUACCUCAUCCUAUAAUAGACAAAUGUCAUUGCAAUAUGUUUAAACAUAUUUAUUUAUAGUGGAUUGGGCAACAAGUUUUGCAACUUAUAUUAAUCCCUUUCCACUUUGCGGGUGCGAGUGCUGCCUUGUAGCGGCAUUAGCCUGCUCUUUUUCGAAAUCUACAUGGGUGUCUUUAACGUGCAAGAGAUAUGGCUCUUUCUUAACACAGGUCAGCCAUUUAUCGUCCCCUUCUAAACGACUAUCAUCGUUUCCUCAAGACCAUACUUGCAAAUGGUGUCAAGGGAGAGCCGAAAAUUCAGUCCCUGAAAUUUUCAUCCCGGAACAAUAUAUCAAGUACUAGAGUGUUCAGAAUCUAAACAAGAAGACAAGUAAAAAGAUUUUACAGCUCAGUCUAUCAAAUAUCUUACAAAACACUAAAUUUCCAAAUGAACAAACAAUUAAAGCAACCACUGACACAGUUUGUGUCUUAUUUUAUAUCUGAACAGGUAAAAUUACCAAAAUCUGGCAUUGGAAAUGUAUACCGGUAAUAACUAUCAGUUCAGGAAAAGUCUUCAAAACUCUUCAAUACUUGUAAGCUAAAGAAUAUUAAGUAAAUAUUAAGUAAAACAAAAGUAGAUAUAACACUGUUAUACCUGUGAAUGCUUAAGAAGUAACUAAAAGUAAGAUCUACAAAUUGAACUACUGAGCUGAUAUAAAAUUUGUGCUGUUUUAUAUUCUAAUUAAUAACAGUUGUUGUUGUACAAUUGUAUAUCUUGCAUUUAUUUUUUAAAAAGUAUGUGGUACAUCAAUGAGUCUAAGAAUAGAAUCAACUAAUUACAAAGAGAUUUAUUACCAGAUGGAACCAGGAUAGAUUUUUCUGGAGACUAUUUUAAGUUUUAAGUACUGGCAUGUUAUUAAUGAUAACAUGAUAACCUUUAUUAAUGUUUCAUGAUUAUAUGUUUACUUUGGUACUUUCCAUGGCAAGCCUCUCAAAUUAAGCCAAGUUUAUAUACUCUGACAUUUAACGACUUUUAAUAUUGCUUUUCCUCACAUGACUCAGAUCAUGGUUUUUGAACAAUUAAAUCGUGGGGAAAUUGUCAUAUUAUAUAAUGUGAUUUUCAUUUUAAUUCAUAUUUUUUUUAAAUAUCACCUAAAGAGAAGAAAAUAAAUUAUAUUCUCUUUGUUUUUCCUAAGAGUUCAUGUAUAUAUAAAAAAAACACAAUUAGUUCAUGUAUAUAAAAAAAAAAAAACACAAUUAUAUACUGUUACUUCAAAUAUUUUUGCAAUAUCUUUUUCUAUCAGCUAUUUCAUGACAACUUUGUAAAAAAAAAAUCAAACAUAACAUAAAAGCCAUGAUUUAUUUUGCCAUUUUCUGCUGGAAAAUUUACUUCUUUUAAGAAUACUUACUUUUAUGAACUUCAUUCAGUCAACUCUUUAUUUUAACAUUUCACAAAGUAUGCUUUUCUCAUAAUGCAUCUGACAUCCUUACAAAAUCCAUUGGAGGUGUUCUAAUUGACAUUGAUUCUGAGAAAAUAGUUUAUUUUUCAGUAGAAUUUGUCUUUUUACUUUAGAAAUUGUGAGUACUCUUAGAUCAGUACUUUGUGUCGUUCAUGUAACUGAUAAAUGUUAUUUUCAGAGUUCCUAUAUUUUUUGUAGGGGUUGAAGAUGAGCAUAUGAAAAAUGCACCAUGGGAAUCAUCUGUUGUGACAGAACUUGAUUUGACAUCAACAGAACUUUCAAAGGAAUGCUUAGAAAAUAUUUUGCUUCGUAUUCCAAGCUUUACCUAUCUGGGACUUGGAUACUGUGAAUUCUUUACUGAUAGGGUAAGCUUUACCUCUAUACAACAGCAAUCAAUCAGUAGGAGGAUGAAAAUGAUUCUUGAAUCUAUAUUUCAAAAGUAAUAAGUAUAUAGUCUAGAUGAAACAGAUAACACAAGUAAAUAACAUGACUUGCUCAGUUGAGUUUAGGUUCAAAUCUUUUAUGAACACAUUUUUCAUCAGAACACUUCUGAAUCCAUUGGAGAUUAUCCUGACACAUGCAUAAUUGUGCCAUCUGCAUUCAAAUCAGUACUACAUUUUUUUUUAUAUUUAAUGGAAGAUCAAUAAUGUGCAAAACAAAUAACAAAGGACCAAGAAUUGAGCCUUGUGGUAAACCAAAAAUUUAUCACAUUAACUUUUUAGCUUAUAAAGGUUUAGUAUCUGAGAGAUUUUGACACACAGGUUUAACCGAGAAGUUAACGAUGAAACAAAAAAUAUAAGCCAUGUCACAUAAGAACACAAUUAGUAUACCCUAAUGUUAGAUUUAUGAAUAAAAUUUUCUUUAUAUGACAGUUUCUGCAUUGGCAAGUACACUUACAGUGAACUAAUCUUUUUUAUUAUUCAGUUGUGAUUCAAGCUUUCCUAAAACUAGAUAAUUAUAAUAAUAUCAACCACUAUACAUGCCUGUGACACAUUCUGUGUCAUUUUAUUCCCAAUAUUAACAUUAAUGAAGAAACCAAUACAUAUUAUAUCAUAAUGUUUCUUUUAUUGGUCAUUCGGGGAAUGGCAGAUCUUUGAUAGGUAAAAUCUAUUUACAACUUUAUUAAGACAAGGGGUGAUUUAGUAUAAACACCUGUCAGUUGUUGAACUCCCACUGAAUGCUUACUUUUAUAUAUGUGUCUUUUUUUUUAUGUCAUUUACAUCCACACGUCUCCUUCUGUUCAUGUUUGAUAUUGACUUAAAUUGUUAUUUCUCUUAUUCAAUAUAUGACUUUUACAAGAUUUAUAUAGAAUAUAAGACCCAUAAUAUACUUAUAUAUUUAUAAGACCCAUACCAUACUACUGGACUUUUCUACUUUCACAAAAAAAAAACUUUAAAGGAGUUUGGUACUUUUAGUAGAAAAUUAUUUUUGAAUUUAUCCUAUUUUCUUGCUUGACUUUAUCCCAUACAAUUUAAUCUAUUUCUGAUGUAAGAAAAUCUCUUAUUAAUAAACAAUAUUGCAAUAAAAUUGAUUGAUGGAAUGUUUUCCAAAUAAUGAUAUAAACACUGGGGAUAUUAAUCAUAAAAAGUAAUUACAGACAUUAAUAAUGAUCCCAAUAUUGAUUUAGUGUUAGAGGAAGAAGGGCUGUUGAAUUUUUAAAAGACGACAAUAAAAAAAAAACUGUUGCAAUAAGCAUAGAUAUGAAUAAAUAAGGAAAUGAAUAAAAAGGAAAAAAACACUAUUUGAGGAUGUGCAUAAAUUAAAUAUAAACCUGGUCCAGGGGCUUAUCUAUCCAUUUUAUUAACAGGGGGGGGGGGGGGGGGGGGGGGUUCCAACUAUAAGUUUCAAUUCAAAUGCAUUGAUCAUCCAAAAAAAAAGGAUGAGUUCCAACUUUCAGUCCCCAUUAAAAUGAAUUGAUAGUCCUAAAAAGGAUGGGUUCCAACUUUCAGUCCCCAUUAAAAUGAAUUGAUCGUCAAAAAAAGGAGGGGUUCCAACCCCCCAGGACCCCCAUUUUUUCACCUGGAUCCACCACUGCUUUUCUUACAUUAAUAAAGUGGAGAUGAUCAAAAUAAAUUUCUCCAAAUUAGAAUUGUAAGCCAAGGAAAUAUUUUGCUAGUUCACUGUGACCCACAGUUUAAUUCCAAUAUAAACUCAAAAUUAGCCUCUCCUUGUUGCUAUUCUAUAGACAUAUUUGUCCAGCAAAACUGAAUCACCAAUAGCACCUUCAUCAUAUGGCUAAUCAAUUUUUGGUUUCUUUCAAUUUAUUUGAUUAAGGUCAAAUGUAUAUGAAUGGAGUGAUGUGAUGUCUUGUAACAUAAUCAUCCUGUCUGUAACCGUACAAUAAAAUGUUCUGAAUAAAGAUAUUAUCAUAGAGACCACUGGUAGUUAUCGAGAAAAAAAGUCUAUAUAUAGUAAUUAAUCUGUUUAUUGAUUGCAGGAGAGCUUCUUUUAUAUCCUGGAUUUCUGACAGUCUCAAAUUAAUUUCUCCUUAGAAAUAUAAUGACUGUAUGGGUUUUUAUUCAAUUAUAGGGAUUUUUUUGUAUAUGUUUCUCUUUUGAUCUCAUUCAUUACCAAUACUAUUCAAGGAAGUUUACUUUAGUUAAUGUUAUUCUCAUUGUGCUUUCACCAAGUUCGAUUCUCUUAACUAAGAAACUUUAAAUAAUUACACAACCAUUUUUUUUUCUCAUCCUGUACAAAGUGUUAGUUAAUGAAAUUGUUUUUAAAAUUUCUUUGAAAAAGGAUGAUAAAAGAAUGACACUGUCAGACUGUCUGCUGUUUUGUAUGUGUGCUUUUUAUAGAGCAAUUUGGUUAGAAAUAUUAUAAAUUCCGAUGAAUAAUUUCCACAAUCAGGGUAAAGAUGGCCUCUAUUAAAAUUGUCGCAAUUUUAUAGUUGCUCUUAUGUUGCUGAUCAUUUUUUCAAUUUUGUGUUUAAACAAGUUACUAAAGAUUUUUUUGUAGCGUUAACUUAAAAAAACAGUAAAAAUCUAAAUUUAAGGAGUAGUGCUCCAAAAAUUGUUAUGAAACUUUCAGAGUAGAUCAAUCUUGUCACGCUGAUAAUUUUUUCAGUUUAAACUUUUAACAUUACUCCAAUAGUAUCAUGAUUACAGCUAAAACUGUAAAAUGAAUAUUUCAGGGGAAGUAACUCUGAAACAGACAGAUUUUUUUUCAAAAUGUUUAUAGAAGCUACAUCUUGUCAUGCUGAUCCUUUUCACAAUCAACACUUUCAAAAUUGCUGUCAUGAUCAGUAAACAAUCUAGAAUCAAAAUUUUAAGUCACUAUUCUAAUUAUAUUGAAAGAAUUAUCAACAAAAAAAGAGUUAAAAAAAAAAUCUUUUGCAGAUAUUAGAGGCACUGGUACAAAGAGGAAAAUUGAAUCAGCUCAAGGCUAUUGAUAUAAGCUACACAAAUGCCUUGUCAGAAAACACCAUUUACAAACUCAUCCAGAAACAUGGGGGACAACUAACUGGAUUGAUGCUGAGUGGAAAACCAAAACUAACAGAAAACUUUUGGUUGAAUGUCAUACCAUUGCUAAAAAAUAUACAGUAAGUUAAUUGAAUUCAAAACCAAAGCUUGAAUCAGGCCAUUCCUGUUUGAAUGGUUUUACACGUGUAAUUUGUGGGGCCCAUUAUAGCUGCUGUUAGGUGUGAGCCAAGGUUUUGCGUUGAAUACAUACUUUGACCUAUAAUGGUUUACUUUUACAAAUUGUGACUUGGAGGGAGAGUUGUCUCAUUGUCACUCACAACACCCCUUUUAAUAUGCAUUCAUUGGAUUUCCUGUUUGAAGUUUUUCACAUUUUGUCAUGUGACUUUGAUAACUGACUAGGCGAUACAGAUUUUGCUCAUUGUUAAAGGCCAAGCAGUGACCAAAUAGUUGCUACAUCAAUGUCAUUUGGACUUAAGAAGAUAGUUGUCACAUUAUUAAUAGUACCACGUCUCCUUAUUUUUAUAGUCACUGACAUGAUCAAUUUUCUGACAGAUUAGUUUUCUCACUUUAUCAGAGAUAAUGACAUUCAAAGCAGGUGUAUACAGAAAUUGAUAAUAAACAAGAAGCGAUCAGUGCUAGGUAUAAGCGUACUUUCAUCUCAGUAUGUUAAGAACUUCUGGUACAUAAAAUGCACUAGUGUAUUACUUCUUCACACUUUAAAAGUGUGAUUAUUUCAUCAGAAAUGAUACCCUAGAGUCUUUUUUUUUUUUAGGAAAGAUGCACUAUUAUGCUAGCUCAUACGUUUAUUUUCUAUACACAAGUACUUUGCUGUACUUUUAUAUAAAUAAUUAAUUACAUGAAAACAUAAAAAAAAAUCUAUAAUUGAUUGGUAGAAUACAAAGAAAACCAUGAAUCAAUUUCUGGAUAGUUUGUUCAGUGCACUUCUUGUUUUUUAUAUUGAGAAGUGCCUUUAAAGUAAGAAAACAGGUGUUCAAACCAGCUUUUGUUUCUUUAGAACUCAAGUACAAUAUGUAAUGGUAAAGUGACUGAAGAAAGCUGUUUUAUCUGAACAAGAUUUAUUUCAAUAUCCUAAAAAUGUGAUAGUUCAAGGUACAUGUACAUAAAAAUUGAAACAAAAGUUCCAAGAAAGAGGACCUUAAUUAUUAAUUAGGGUGUUCUGUUAUUUCAAUAAGCAUUAACACAGAGUUCUCUCAUAAAAAAGCAUUUUUUUCUCUUAGUUUUCAUUAAAUAUUAAUUUUUUCAGAGAUAAGUGCGCAUGUUUUUGUUCUAAAGGACAUUUUUUCUGAUUUCUUUCAUCAAAAUUUUGUCUAAAAUGUUCAUACCUGCCAACUUUUCAUAGUGCAAAUGGGGGUUUUACAUGCAAGAUGGCUUUCAUAGUCCUACAAAACCUUCAAGUUUGCAUUUUAAUAUAUUUGAUGUUUUUUUUUGGCUUCUUUAUACUCUCAUAAGCUAAAGCCAUUGUAAAAUUCAUUGUUUUGUUUAAAUUGUGUACAAAAUUGCUCUUUCAAAAUUUCCAUUUGGGAGUCUCCAUGGGGGAAAUCCCCGCAAAUAGUGACAGUUGGCAGGUAUGAAUGUUACAUUUUCCCUGAGUAUUUUUUUUAGGAACUAAACUCAUGACCAGUUGUAGGAAAAUUGAUGGACACAUAUGCUGUGUCUAAUAUAAUUUUCGUUCAAUGUUAAGAUAUGAACAGAGAAGGUAAUAUAGUUGAUCACACCUGAUAAGAGAUACUAGUAGAUUAAAGGACAGUUAAAAGCAGGUGUUUACAGAAGUUUAGGUAGCCAAACAGUCCAGAAUGGUCACUGGGUCACAUAAGUUUAUCAUGUGAAUCUAUUUCUGGUGUACUUAUGUUUUUUAAAGCAAGGACAUUAAUGUGAGAAUCAAAUUAUAUGGUAGCCAAUUACAAGCCACAGAAUCAGUUGGAAUACCCAAUGUUUUCCCUUUUUCCCUUAAUCAUAAGCAAAACCUUUACUAGGGAAUAGUGUUUGAUUCUAUGAAAAAAAGUGACUUUUAUGCGUUAUACAUUGACAAGUUUUGAGAUAAGUAUAAAUAAACUCAUCAUAGAUACCAGGACUAAAUUUUGUAUAUACACCAGACGCGCAUUUCAUCUACAAAAGACGAAUACAGUGUUGUAUCAAUAAUGCAAUAAAACUGCUUUAGCAAUAGUGCAAUAAAAUUGCCAUUUCAAUAAUGCAAUAAAGCUUUUGGUCUGCCAUAAAGGAAGAUUAGUGCGAUAUUAAAAGGAAGCAAUUAAAAUAUUUACUAAAAAGCCCUGAUGGAAUAAAAGUAUUACCAGUCAUAAAAUGUUAUUAGCUUACUAGACCACACUUUCAUGAAGCUAUUAUUGAGGAAAGUACUAAUGAAAUAAUAAAGCCAACACAACCCAUUCAAUAAUUUAGCAAGUGAUAUUACAGGCCUAUUCUAAAGCUAGAUUAUUGAUUUAUCAUCAUAAAACAUUAGCAGUGUAAUCUACCAAGCUUAUGAGCUUGAGAAAUUAACCCUAAUAAUAUUACUUGGUACUUAGUACUCUGGAGGGGAUAGAACGGAUAUAAGAUUUAUUGGGAGUCUAAGAAAUCUAGUCAGGAGAUUUCAGUCGUCAAUGUGACAAGCUGCAAGAAAAACAUAGAAACAAUUAUUAUUUAUUCUUGUAGGAUUAGUGUAUGAUAUAGUUAUUCCUAAGAGAGAAGUAAUGCUUGUUUGAAAAAGCUUGAGUUAAUAUUGAUUAUCCUCAAGAUAUUUCCCUGUCAAAAUCCCAAUUUAUUUCAGUAGACACCUUUAAGGAUGUCUCAGGCUAGGCUUUUUCAAUUACUAUCAUGGGGUCAGUUAAUUAUUUUUUUUUAAAUGAUCAAAAUUUCAUGACAGACAGACUGACAGACUCAGAGGGAUAGAUGAACAAAUGCGAGAUACUAGUAGACAACAACAUCUGCAUUGGCUUCAUGUGCCAGGCUAGUUUAAAAAGAAAUAAACAGCCAUAUGAAAUUGACAUAGUAAGAAUAAUUGAUUUGUAUGAGAGCGUGAAAAAUAUUAUCAAUUCCAAAUGCAAAAAUCCUGUUUAGAAUUGCGAUCAUGGCUUUCAUGUAUUGACAUGAUUUGUAUGUUAUAUAAGUCUGAUCAGUAUAGUACAAAACAAUCAGUCAUAUGAUGAGAAUUGAACACACUUUCACCACUUAAGUUAUUUGUAGCAACAUAAUUGAUCAAUUAAUGUUCUGUUAUUGGAAAACAGAAACUUGUGUAUUGGCUGAAAUUGGUUAUUGAUUCUGUUUUACAAUUUUAAAUUUCUGAUAAUAAAAGUUAACAAUGUUGAAUGUUAGUUUCAACAUGAUGUUUGUUUUACAGAAAUAACAUGAUAUUAUCAGAUUUUUCCAUAAAUACCUUCCACAAAAUUGAUUUACUCUUUAUUUGGUUUUAGGAUUUUUUUUAAAGACUUUUAAUGGACACAGAUAACUCUAUUUUCUAUAAAUAUCAUUCAAAUAACAAGCACUAACCAAAGGAACUUUUCUGUAAUUAUUUUUUAUAUUUAUUGUGAAAACUAAUUAUUUUUUGCCUUAUUUUUCCUUUCCUGAUUUAUGCUUCUUCUGAUAUUUUCAUCAAUUUGCCAUUUUAAUUAUAAAAAAUUGUAAAAAAUAAUCAUUAGUAAAGGUUUAUCAUUGCACCAAGUCAGGAUAACAGUAAUAAAAUUAGAAUAAAUCCUGGCAAUAACUUCAAAAAUUGACAUCCUGAAUGUGUGAAAAGUGUGGUAAAUGUUGGAUAACUUUUCUUGUUUCCUGUUAAAAUGAUUUGUUGUUUGUCCUACAGCUAAACUUUCACUUCCUUUUAUAUCUAUAAAUGUCAAGGUCUUAUAAUUUUUUCAAUAUAUCUAUAAAUGUCAAGGUGUUAUAAUUUUUUCCCUAUCCUUGAACAAGGGUAAAUAGCUUGAUUUAAUAACAUAAAAACAAAUGAAAAAAUUAGUAAAGAACACUUCAUUUCUCAUAAGUGUCAAACAUCACUUUAUUAGCCUUUUGUAAUUUUUUCAGCCUUUCGUUUACAAAUUUAAUAUCUUUUAUAAGUAAUAUAUUGCUUUGUAUGGAUAACAUGCAAUUGAUCAAUUUAAUAAUGUAUGAGAUCUGCAUUUAAGUGACAGACAACAAUAUUGAUUAUCAAAACGUACCAAUAAAAGAUAAAUAAAGAUUGAUAACAGUUUUAGGCGAACUUUGUAUAAAUUCCAAUUAAAAAAAGAUUUAUAGUAAAUAUCAGACUUUUUAUGUAAAACUUUAAAUGUCAUAACAAUAUUGCUGACAGAUAAUUAAAUUCUCAUAUUUUGCAAGAAUCACUUUAAACUGCAAUUUUGAUUCAUUUACAUGUUAUUAAAAAUUUUAUCGAAAACAAUCAAAUUUACAAUCUAAUAUCUAUAGUCAAGUAUUAUAUAGAUCUUCAUUUUAUAAUUGGAAGAAAGACGAAUCAAAAAAAGAUUGUUCUUUUUUUUAUUAUAACAGUACUCUAGUUGUGAUCUUUGCCUGUUCUUUUACUACCAUAUAGUGGGUUUUUUUUCGCGGGGUGUAAAUUUUCACUUAUUUUCGCAGAUAGAACAAAAUCGUCAAAAUAAAUUCCGCCAAUUGAAAAGUUUACGUGCAAAGGUAUUGAUAAAAGUUUUGAAUCCACCAAAAUAAUAACCGCCAAAAUAUUUUAUAUACCCUUUUCAAUGAAAAUCGCGAAAUUUUACACCCGCGAAAAUAACCUGCUAUAAAGUAUUAAAUCAUUCACAUGUUAAUUACCCAACAAGCAAAAAGUAAAAUAACAAAAAUACCGAACUCUUAGGAAAAUUCUUAACGGAAAGUCCUUAAGCAAAUGGCAAAAUCAAAAGCUGAAACACAUCAAACGAAUGGAUAACAACUGUCAUAUUUCUGACUUGGUACAGGCAAAUUUAACAAUCUAUAUUCUCAUUUAAUGAUCUUUAUGUUAUAAUUGAAAAAAAGAUCAGAGUCUUUGAAGAAGAAAAAAAUGUUGAUGAUGAUACAUUUGUAUAAAUGAUACUUUUAUUGUAACCGAAGAUUUAAUCCAUAAAUUAUUUCAUUAUCUUAGUCAAACCUGGGGGAAUACAUUUGAAAUUAGUGACAUUCAAUACAGAUUUUAAUCAUUUCCUGUUUUUCUAUUUUAGAAUUUGUGUCCUUGGAACAGCUAAUGGAUGGUUUCUAAAGAUCCAAAGUCGUGUUCAUAUUGAUCAGAUAAUUGAAGCAUUUGCACAAAACUGCCCAAAAAUGUUGAGAUGUGAAAUUCAGUGGGAUCCUGAUACAAUCAGAUUCAGCGAUAAGAGUAGUAAAUUUAUAGAUCAUAUACGGUAGGUCAUGAAAAUACAGAAAGAGUUAGGUACCUAUUUUACAGACAAGAUAUGGAAAUUUCUGUGUCAUUUGUAUUCUUGUGUAAAGUUGUCUCAUUGGCAAUUUAAUAUACCACAUCUUCUUAUUUUUAUAAGGAAUUUAAUAUAAGAGUGUAAACUCUUAAAUGUCUUGCCUGCUUUACCAACCAUAAUUAAUUGUAUUUUGGAAGUCUAAGGAUAAAUGUAAAAAUAGAGUUUUACUACACUGUUUUACAAAUAUUUCAUACACUCAACUAUAUCUAUGGUCCAUUGUUGAGUAAUGAAGUCAAGGUCAGAUAAACCCAGCCAAGCAGACAUGUACACCUUGUAAUAAUUCCAUACAUCAGCAUAGUUGACCUAUAGCUCAUAGUAUCCAAGAAAGAAUCCACACCUGGAAAAUUUACUUUGACCAAUGAACCAUAGAAUUAGUCAAGGUCAGAUGAAUCUUGCCUGACAGACAUGUACACAUUACAAUCAUUCUGUACACCAAAUAUAGUUGACCUAUAGCUUACAGUAUCCAAGUAAGAGACCAAACCAUGAAAACUUAUUACAUUGUAUUCACCAAUGAAACAUAAUUAAAUCAAGGUCAAAUGAACCAGCCAGACAUGUACACCUUACAAGCAUUGUACUAUUAAAACAUUUUCAUUCCUUCAACAUUACAUCAUUUAAAGUACAAUGUAGCAACCAAUCAUAAAAAAAAAUGAGAGUUAGAAGUUUUACUUUAGACUAGAUUGAAUUGAACAUAGGUUUUAAUCAUUUUCAUCAGUUGUGCUUCAGUUCACAUACACGUGUUCACAUAUAACCUCAAUCAAUGCAUGCAACAACACUGGUCCAUACCAGGUAUUGGUCUUGUUGAAAAUAUUAUCCUGUUAAUUCAGAGUUUUUAUAUUUCAGAUUGAGAUGUCCAUACAUGAAAUCGUUUACCCUGAGUGAUGGAGAGUAUUACGAGAUGGUCAAAUCAAACUUUGAAAGAGCAGAUAGAAAGAAGGUUGUACGAACCACUACGAACUAUUGUACCAGUAUUGUUAGUCUGCUGAAUGACUAUAGUGACCUUUUGUUUAACUAAUGAACCUUAUCAUAUAGUCUGCUGAAUCUUACAAUCAUCCAAUGAGUGAUCCUCUUUCUAGUUGUCUGCUGAAUCUUACAAUCAUCCAAUGAGUGAUCCUCUUUCUAGUUGUCUUCUGAAUCUUACAAUCAUCCAAUGAGUGAUCCUCUUUCUAUUUGUCUGCUGAAUCUUACAAUCAUCCAAUGAGUGAUCCUCUUUCUAGUUGUCUGCUGAAUCUUAAAAUCAUCCAAUGAGUGAUCCUCUUUCUAGUUGUCUGCUGAGUUCAUUAAUUUUCUGCAUAAGAGUGAAUCUUAAUAGUUGUUUUAAAGUGUUUAUUAGUCAGCAGCAUUCUGUAAUAUGAUUUAUUUUAUAAAUGGAUAACAUUGUCUCUACUCUGUCCUAAAUAUCAAUUUACUGACUGUUUAUAAAAGUUACUGUGACCUAAAUAUCACUUGUUUGUGACCUAAAUAUUACUUGUUUGUGACCUAAAUAUCAAUUUACUGACAAGGACACUGUGACCUAGAUAUCAGAAGGAUUUUUACAUAUAGUAAAGUGAUAUUGUUUCAAAAAGAUGAAGUGAUAUUGUUUCAAAAAGAUGAAGUGAUAUUGUUUCAAAAAGAUGGAGUGAUAUUGUUUCAGAAAGAUGAAGUGAUAUUGUUUCAAAAAGAUAAAGUGUUCACAGGAUACAACUAAACGCUAAAAGAAAUUACUCUUUUAAAUAUUGGUAAAAUGUAUCGCAUCUGGCCAAUUUUUGCCACAAAAAUAUAAAUAUUAAUAAUGGCAUGCAAAUGCAAAAACAGGACAUCUUUAAACACACUUGAAACAUCACAGAUUUCAGCUUGCCUAGAAGUAAUGGUAUUGACAGAUCACUAGCUUUGCUAAAUUUCACAGGAAAUGUGUCUUAUACCAAUAUUGUUACUAUUAACACUUAUUUUCGUGGGUACCAAUUUACGUGGAUUGCAGAAUUCUUGCCUUUUCGUUGAUAUGUAAUUUCGUGGUUUUGCCAAAGUCUGCAUACAACAUGAGAGAAAUUUGUAGUUCGUUGAACAUUUAAAUUCAUGGUUCACCUGUACCCAUGAAAAGCACGAAAAUUGAUAUCCAACGAAUAAUAAUGAAUCCUCUGUAUGUUAAGAUUUCAUUUCAAUGUAACAUCUUUGAAUAAUUUAUACAUCAAAACAACGUGUAUUAAUAUAGUUGGAAAUUUUAGCUAUGCGUUACCAUCAUAUGCUCUUGGUAUAAAAUUUUAUAAGCUGUUUAUUCUGAUACUGUACACAAAACUGUACUAGAUAUUUAGCAGUUUGUUAUGGUUCAGAAUCCUCAAAAAAUAAAGCUGAGCAGUGGAAUAUAUUAUGGAACUAACCCUGUGUUUCUAAUGAAAAAUAAAUGCCUUUUAGGGGGGAUAAAGCUUAGUCAAAUGAAGUACUAAUAAAAAUGAUAAAUCUAUAUGUUUACAUUCAAACAUACAAUGAAUAUGGAACACUGGUAUGUCACUCUUUCAAGAGUUUAUAACUUAGAAUUUUACCUCAUGGCCUCAAAAAUGAAAAAUGUUAGUAUUAAAAUGUAUUGGAGACUUACUUAAAUUUAUUUAUUUAAUAAACUUAUUUAUUGAAAAAUUAUUUUCCAUUAAAGAUUAUUGAUAUAUGUAUUAUAGUUCUGUAGAAAUUUUGAUAGUUGUAUUUAUUUACUAUGUUAUUUUAUAUUAUAUGAGCAUUUUAUGUUGUUUCUUAGACACUUCAUUAUUUAUUUACAAAUAUGAAUUAUGACAAUCCAAUGAAAGGAAUGUUGAAAAUAAAAUUUUC
rnacentral:lncRNA from 1 species